rnacentral:rRNA from 2 species
GUUCAGAACGUCGUGAGACAGUUCGGUCCCUAUCCGUCGUGGGCGUAGGAAAUUUGAGAGGAGCUGUCCUUAGUACGAGAGGACCGGGAUGGACGCACCGCUGGUGUACCAGUUGUUCUGCCAAGGGCAUAGCUGGGUAGCUAUGUGCGGAAGGGAUAAGUGCUGAAAGCAUCUAAGCAUGAAGCCCCCCUCAAGAUGAGAUUUCCCAUAGCGUAAGCUAGUAAGAUCCCUGAAAGAUGAUCAGGUUGAUAGGUUCGAGGUGGAAGCAUGGUGACAUGUGGAGCUGACGAAUACUAAUAGAUCGAGGACUUAACCAUAUAA